rnacentral:rRNA from 1 species
GAUGAACGCUGGCUGUGUGCCUAAUACAUGCAUGUCGAGCGAGGUUAGCAAUAACCUAGCGGCGAAUGGGUGAGUAACACGUGCUUAAUCUACCUUUUAGAUUGGAAUACCCAUUGGAAACAAUGGCUAAUGCCGGAUACGCAUGGAACCGCAUGGUUCCGUUGUGAAAGGCGCUGUAAGGCGCCACUAAAAGAUGAGGGUGCGGAACAUUAGUUAGUUGGUGAGGUAAUGGCCCACCAAGACUAUGAUGUUUAGCCGGGUCGAGAGACUGAACGGCCACAUUGGGACUGAGAUACGGCCCAAACUCCUACGGGAGGCAGCAGUAGGGAAUAUUCCACAAUGAGCGAAAGCUUGAUGGAGCGACACAGCGUGCACGAUGAAGGUCUUCGGAUUGUAAAGUGCUGUUAUAAGGGAAGAACAUUUGCAAUAGGAAAUGAUUGCAGACUGACGGUACCUUGUCAGAAAGCGAUGGCUAACUAUGUGCCAGCAGCCGCGGUAAUACAUAGGUCGCAAGCGUUAUCCGGAAUUAUUGGGCGUAAAGCGUUCGUAGGCUGUUUGUUAAGUCUGGAGUUAAAUCCCGGGGCUCAACCCCGGCUCGCUUUGGAUACUAGCAAACUAGAGUUAGAUAGAGGUAAGCGGAAUUCCAUGUGAAGCGGUGAAAUGCGUAGAUAUAUGGAAGAACACCAAAGGCGAAGGCAGCUUACUGGGUCUAUACUGACGCUGAGGGACGAAAGCGUGGGGAGCAAACAGG